AAGAUUAUAAGUUAAUAAAGACUAACAACCUUCAAAGUUGUUUGUGGGAGGUUGUUUCCUAAUCUUA
rnacentral:tRNA from 1 species